GGUUCUUAUGUGUAGAUGUUAAGAAGUCAGAGAUCUCUUAUAUGAUUAACAUUUAAACUAAUAUACCUUCACAUUUCAAAAAUGUGAAUUUCCUAUUCCAUUUGUAUAUUACCUAGUUUUUAAUCAAGACCAACAAAGUUGGGAUUUUUAACAGCGAUGUACAUGUAUAAUUUUCAGAAUUUUUAAUCACUUUUAAGAAACGUUAUUUUUCAGUGUUGUGGAUUGAACACAACAAGUUUUGUUCAAACGCUUCAUGUACCUGAAUAUAUAGAAAAUCAUGUGUUACAAAUAAAUACAUGACCUUUUUGUGUUCCUGAAAUAAUCUGAACAUGUUCGUAUGACAGAAUCUAAUUGGUUCAUUAAAUAUUGUUCCUUCUGAAAUUCCAGUCGAUUUUAAAGUAUUGUGAAAUUCUCUAUUAAAUGAUUAAUGGCU
rnacentral:misc_RNA from 1 species